UUCGAUUAGAGUUUGAUCAUGGCUCACAUUGAACGCUGGCGGCAUGCCUUACACAUGCAAGUCGAACGGCAGCAUGAUCUAGCUUGCUAGAUUGAUGGCGAGUGGCGAACGGGUGAGUAAUACAUCGGAACGUGCCCUGUAGUGGGGGAUAACUAGUCGAAAGAUUAGCUAAUACCGCAUACGACCUGAGGGUGAAAGUGGGGGACCGCAAGGCCUCAUGCUAUAGGAGCGGCCGAUGUCUGAUUAGCUAGUUGGUGGGGUAAAGGCCCACCAAGGCGACGAUCAGUAGCUGGUCUGAGAGGACGAUCAGCCACACUGGGACUGAGACACGGCCCAGACUCCUACGGGAGGCAGCAGUGGGGAAUUUUGGACAAUGGGGGCAACCCUGAUCCAGCAAUGCCGCGUGUGUGAAGAAGGCCUUCGGGUUGUAAAGCACUUUUGUCCGGAAAGAAAUCGCACUUACUAAUAUUAGGUGUGGAUGACGGUACCGGAAGAAUAAGGACCGGCUAACUACGUGCCAGCAGCCGCGGUAAUACGUAGGGUCCAAGCGUUAAUCGGAAUUACUGGGCGUAAAGCGUGCGCAGGCGGUUGUGCAAGACCGAUGUGAAAUCCCCGGGCUUAACCUGGGAAUUGCAUUGGUGACUGCACGGCUAGAGUGUGUCAGAGGGGGGUAGAAUUCCACGUGUAGCAGUGAAAUGCGUAGAGAUGUGGAGGAAUACCGAUGGCGAAGGCAGCCCCCUGGGAUAACACUGACGCUCAUGCACGAAAGCGUGGGGAGCAAACAGGAUUAGAUACCCUGGUAGUCCACGCCCUAAACGAUGUCAACUAGUUGUUGGGGAUUCAUUUCCUUAGUAACGUAGCUAACGCGUGAAGUUGACCGCCUGGGGAGUACGGUCGCAAGAUUAAAACUCAAAGGAAUUGACGGGGACCCGCACAAGCGGUGGAUGAUGUGGAUUAAUUCGAUGCAACGCGAAAAACCUUACCUACCCUUGACAUGCCACUAACGAAGCAGAGAUGCAUUAGGUGCUCGAAAGAGAAAGUGGACACAGGUGCUGCAUGGCUGUCGUCAGCUCGUGUCGUGAGAUGUUGGGUUAAGUCCCGCAACGAGCGCAACCCUUGUCUCUAGUUGCUACGAAAGGGCACUCUAGAGAGACUGCCGGUGGCAAACCGGAGGAAGGUGGGGAUGACGUCAAGUCCUCAUGGCCCUUAUGGGUAGGGCUUCACACGUCAUACAAUGGUGCAUACAGAGGGUUGCCAAGCCGCGAGGUGGAGCUAAUCCCAGAAAAUGCAUCGUAGUCCGGAUCGUAGUCUGCAACUCGACUACGUGAAGCUGGAAUCGCUAGUAAUCGCGGAUCAGCAUGCCGCGGUGAAUACGUUCCCAGGGUCUUGUAG
rnacentral:rRNA from 1 species